CCUACGGGAGGCUGCAGUGGGGAAUAUUGCACAAUGGGGGAAACCCUGAUGCAGCGACGCCGCGUGAGUGAAGAAGUAUUUCGGUACGUAAAGCUCUAUCAGCAGGGAAGAAAAUGACGGUACCUGACUAAGAAGCCCCGGCUAACUACGUGCCAGCAGCCGCGGUAAUACGUAGGGGGCAAGCGUUAUCCGGAUUUACUGGGUGUAAAGGGAGCGUAGGCGGCUGCGCAAGUCUGGAGUGAAAUCCCAUGGCUUAACCAUGGAACUGCUUUGGAAACUGUACAGCUAGAGUGCAGGAGAGGUAAGCGGAAUUCCUAGUGUAGCGGUGAAAUGCGUAGAUAUUAGGAGGAACACCAGUGGCGAAGGCGGCUUACUGGACUGUAACUGACGUUGAGGCGCGAAAGCGUGGGGAGCAAACAGGAUUAGAUACCCGUGUAGUC
rnacentral:rRNA from 1 species